rnacentral:rRNA from 1 species
AAGUUUGAUGGCGACCGGCGCACGGGUGAGUAACACGUAUCCAACCUGCCGAUGACUCGGGGAUAGCCUUUCGAAAGAAAGAUUAAUACCCGAUGGCAUAGUUCUUCCGCAUGGUGGAACUAUUAAAGAAUUUCGGUCAUCGAUGGGGAGUGCGUUCCAUUAGGUUGUUGGCGGGGUAACGGCCCACCAAGCCUUCGAUGGAUAGGGGUUCUGAGAGGAAGGUCCCCCACAUUGGAACUGAGACACGGUCCAAACUCCUACGGGAGGCAGCAUG